rnacentral:rRNA from 1 species
AUUGAACGCUGGCGGCAUGCUUUACACAUGCAAGUCGAACGGUAACAGGCCUUCGGGUGCUGACGAGUGGCGAACGGGUGAGUAAUGCAUCGGAACGUACCCAGAGGUGGGGGAUAACGCAGCGAAAGCUGUGCUAAUACCGCAUGUGAUCUGAGGAUGAAAGCGGGGGACCGAGCAGCAAUGUUUGGCCUCGCGCCUUUGGAGCGGCCGAUGUCGGAUUAGCUAGUUGGUGGGGUAAAGGCCUACCAAGGCGACGAUCCGUAGCUGGUCUGAGAGGACGACCAGCCACACGGGGACUGAGACACGGCCCAGACUCCUACGGGAGGCAGCAGUGGGGAAUGUUGGACAAUGGGCGCAAGCCUGAUCCAGCAAUGCCGCGUGCGGGAAGAAGGCCUUCGGGUUGUAAACCGCUUUUGGCAGGAACGAAACGGUGUCCGCUAAUACCGGGCGCUAAUGACGGUACCUGCAGAAUAAGCACCGGCUAACUACGUG